UAAGUAGACAAGAGUAAGACGGAGACAACAACAACAAACUGCGAAGCAUCCGACCAGACGCGCACACAAUCCAAACCUUCACACUUUGCCAGACCGGCGAGGCGACAGCAACAAGAUGAAGAAGAAGACCAAACUACCAAACCAUUCGAAGAUGUGUCUCUAGAUCUAUUUCCGACCUCAGUUCUCCGGAUAAAGCCCCUGGUUGUUUUCUGUGAGAUGAUAGGAGAUGGGAUCUGCUCAACAGUUCCUUGGAGAUGUGAGUCGUGUUUGGCUUUUACAGUGGUCCAAGGCCAGUUUUUGGUGUCGGAUAUCUAGUCCGGUGUUUCCAAUGUAUCUUGGCUAAAAGGAUUGUAAAAAGAGACAGACGGGUGAGCAUGGUUCAGGGUUUGGGGAGGUGCAGUACUGGGAUUAUUUUGGAAGGCAAUGGAUAAAACCCCUGAAGUAGUAUAUUUCACUGGCAGCGAAAAGAGAGAUGGGAAGAAAGAAGAGAACUCUAAUGGACUAUGUUAAAUUUGAAGGCUGAGUUUCCAAGUAUGCUGUCUAUGGUCGAAUCAAUGCCUACUGCUUUAAGUUAAUGUUGAUGAGCUGUAGGGUGCCGAUAUUUGUUUCUCCCAGAACCCUUGUGACAUCUUUGCGAGUUUUCAAGACUAUUGUGCCAGUGUGUGGAGCCAUGAGAGUGUCAUCUUCUUCAGUGGCAAUACUUUCAAUGCAGUCACCAAACUCGCUGUCAAAAUCAAGAAAUGGCAUCACUUUAAGGGUCUCUUAGCGUGAAAUUGAUCAUCAAGGUUCUGUCAUCCACAUCACCAAUGCCUCCUUCAUCUUCUUGGUCGCUCAUUUCAUCCUGAGCUUCUUGGUGGGGCCUGGGCUGAAGAUCUUUGCAGAAGCUCUGACAGAUUGUGACCCAAAGGUGCAACCUUUCCCAUGUAAACUCCUUUACAUAAAGGGGCCGCAGUUCAAAUUUCUUGUUGGGAAAGACAAUGCGGGUUGCGAGAAGAAGCACCUGAUCAAUCUCAUUGGCUGGCAACACAGAAUCUUGGGCCAUCAAGUGCCCCACAGCAAUCUCUGCUUCCUGGAUGAGUAUUAUGAAGCUGGGAUUCUCAGAGAUGGGGACCAUGCUGCUUUGGUACUCGCAUUCUGGAUACACGGUAUCCAAGAAAACCCAGAGGGCUACAGCAUUGCAGGCCAUUUCACGACUCACUUCUGGUAGUUGGAGGGCUCUGCGUAGCAGCUUUUGGAUGAUGCCAUAGAGAGGUUCGAACGCCAUUGAUGUCUUUACCAGCUUUUCUUGGAAACGGGGAAGAAGGAAAUGUGAAAUGCAGAACGAGUCUGUGGUUUUCUUUUCUGGGUUUCUGUGUUUCUUGAUCGUACUGGGUUUCUUUGGGUUCUGGUGCUCAGGGGUUUGCUUCAGUUUUGAUUCGAUGGGUUUUUAUAGGUGUUUUACCGCGCUACUUAUGGAUUAUGUGCGCAAUUUCUCAU